UCAAUGACGAAGAACAAGAGGAGUAAAUACAUAAUCUUUUAAGAGAGUUAGUGGAAGGUGCAAACUAAUAGGUAAGUGUAUUGAAGGUAGCUUGGGAGUUAAGUAAUUGAAAGCAAGUAGGUUAUUUCGUAAAAUAUGCGUUAAAUAUUUGAGGUAAUUAAUUUUACAAAUUAAGGUGGUACCACGUUAACACGUCCUUAUU
rnacentral:ncRNA from 1 species